GAUGAACGCUGACAGAAUGCUUAACACAUGCAAGUCAACUGUGGCGGACGGGUGAGUAACGCGUAAAGAACUUGCCUCACGGAUAGGGACAACAUUUGGAAACGAAUGCUAAUACCUGAUACUGUGAGAGAGCUUUGCGUCCCAUUAGCUAGUUGGAGAGGUAACGGCUCACCAAGGCGAUGAUGGGUAGCCGGACUGAGAGGGUGAUCGGCCACAGGGGGAUUGAGACACGGCCCUUACUGCUACGGGAGGAAGGAGUGGGGAAUAUUGGACAACGUACCAAAGUCUGAUGCAGCAAUUCUGUGUGCAAGAUGAAGUUUUCGGAAUGUAAAGUGCUUUCAGUUGGGAAGCGGUACCAACAGAAGAAGUGACGGCUAAAUACGUGCCAGCAGCCGCGGUAAUAC
rnacentral:rRNA from 1 species